rnacentral:rRNA from 1 species
AUACGGAGGAUGCAAGCGUUAUCCGGAUUUAUUGGGUUUAAAGGGUGCGUAGGCGGUUUGCUAAGCGGGAGGUGAAAUGCCGGCGCUCAACGUCGGAAGUGCCUCCCGAACUGGUGGACUUGAAUGACUCUGCCGUGGGAGGAAUGUGUAGUGUAGCGGUGAAAUGCUUAGAGAUUACACAGAACACCGAUUGCGAAGGCAUCUCACGAAGAGUUGAUUGACGCUGAGGCACGAAAGCGUGGGGAUCAAACAGGAUUAGAUACCCUGGUAGUCCACGCAGUAAACGAUGAUGGCUAACCGCUGGGCUUAUCAGUUCAGUGGCCAAGCGAAAGCGAUAAGCCAUCCACCUGGGGAGUACGACCGCGAGGUUGAAACUUAAAGGAAUUGACGGGG